rnacentral:misc_RNA from 1 species
GAACGCACAUUGCGCCCGCCAGUAUUCUGGCGGGCAUGCCUGUUCGAGCGUCAUUUCAACCAUCAAGCGCCUGCGCUUGUGUUGGAGCCCUGCGGCUGCUGCAGGCUCCCAAACCCAGUGGCGGGCUCGUCGUCGUACCGAGUGCAGUAAAUUUACCACGCUCAGGGCGCGCGACGGGUGACCGGCCGUAAAACCCCCCAACUUAUCAAGGUUGACCUCGGAUCAGGUAGGAAUACCCGCUGAACUUAAG